rnacentral:RNase_P_RNA from 12 species
UUACACACGGAGAUGGUCAGCACGCCUGAAUUCAUGCUCAGAGAAAGCGCUUGGGAAGGUCUGAGAAGGCCGAUUUCCCUUGGUGGGAAUGUCACGAAAGUACUACUUGGGGACCAGCAAUGAUACCUGCUGAGGGUAAGCACAAGAUCUCAGUGCCGGGUGGUGCUGGGUGAUGCGUUAUCAGCCCUUAGCUUGGUUGGAACAACCCGAGAGGCCCAAAUCAUCAAAGUUCAAUACACAAGGUGGCUUCAAGCCAUA